rnacentral:lncRNA from 1 species
AAAACUAAAAUGACUACUACCAAAGACUAAAAAACUAAAAAUCCUUAAAACUAGACUACAUGGAAGAAAGAAAUUAAUAUCAAUGAAAAAUGCUUCACUUUUAUUUCUUUAUAUAUUAUCUUACUUGGAGCUAUGUGAUAAUGUUUUAUAAGACCUUGUAGUUGUCACUUUACUUAUUCCAGAAGAAACCUCCUAGAAUAAACCUAUAUAGGGGAAUUCGAACACAGGGAAAGACCAUGUAUAUGAACUCCAAUUGUUGGGGUUACACAAUUAAUCGCUACUGCUGAAUGCUUACCAUAGCGAAGAAUACUUAACUUUUCCUCUUACUGUCCACUCUUUCAUAUCAAUACAAUAACAUCAACGACAAUGAUUUCAGUACCCUGUGUAAUUCACGAACACACAAGCAUAUCCCAAACCCUGGAACGAACAACUUCCAAUCCACAGAAUCUAAUCAAGAUAAUUCUUUCGAUUACAAUUCCUCUCCACUGAACCUACAACCUUGCGAUAAACAAUGAUUGGAAACUUCCAUACGUUCUCAAUCUUUCACAAUAACUGAUAAACAGUGAUCCAUAAAUAAAUUUGUAAAUCAAACAUUAAUUCAUUAAAUCGAUUCUCUUCACUAGAAUCAACACUAACACAAAAGAAACAAGAAAAUUAAGAAGAAGAGAUAGCACCAAGCUUAUCCCCGGCUCAGUACUAUCGUAGUCUGGCCUUUUCUUCCCUUCUCCCAUCCUCCUUAUACUACCUCGAGAUACCAACUCCUAUACUACAAAUGAUAACUACUUUUCUUGACUAUUCAUCCAUUCUACCUGCUGAACCAUCUUUUCAGUAAUUAUCUAUUCCUGUUUACACUAUAUACUAGGUAUCUACAUUCUGAAAAUAACUACUUAUUCUACAUAGCCCCACUCCUAAUUGUGCAGCGUCCCCACAAACACAGUAUUGAUAAACAAAAACCAAUCAUUUUUUUUUUUUAUAUAUAUAUUUUUUUUAACUGGAUUGUUCAAUCUCUUCGAUUUCUAGCGCUGGCUCCAUUUGGUCUUGUUCCAACACUAUAUCUUCUUCCUUCGACUUGUCCUGAAUCUCUAUCCUAAAUUGAGCUGUUAAAUCUUUAUUAUACUCUCCCAAUUCUUGAACCUGAGCUUCCAAUUGGAGGAUUUUGGCAUCUUUAGCUUCCAGUUGUUGUUGCGACUGUUGCAAUUUCUCCUCCAAUUUUCCAAUUCUUAUUCCUGUUGAGGCAAAUGUCUGUAACUGACCAAUAUUGACUAAAUCGCUCUCAAAUUUCAUUACUGUUUUCUUCAAAACAAUAAUUUCUGCCUAUAGUUCAUCCAUAUUGUUU